CUAACCUCACUUCUCCUUCGGCCUGUAGGGCGGCGGAGGCUCGGGCCGUUCCGGGCCUGUGGCCGCCUGGCCUCCGACGACUGGGGCGCAGGGUAGGAGCACGCGGCCGCUUGAGUCUAGUGAGACUGGCGCCGCGGCCGGGCCGGGUCCGAGGCUCCCGGUCCCUGAAAGCCUGGAGGGCAGCGGCCUGGUCUGGCCUCCGCCACGUUGUCGGUGAGACCUCAGAAAGCCCAGAAGCGGCCUGUGUUCCCACGCCGGGACAUGCGGCGAGGGGGUGAAAGAUGGAUGCUUGAAGCAUAGACUGCUGCUGACUACUUACUAUCUGGGAGCACACAGAUGACCUAAGGAUGUCCUCAGUGAGGAACCUGACAACUUGAUCUUCGGGAGUUGCUUAUUCAAAAUUUCCAGGAUUGCUAAAAAAAAAAAAAAAAAAUAGUGCUUUUGGAUAGUCCAUAAAUGUACAUCUAAAACAGUGGAGCUAAAAAUAAAAUAAUUUAAUGUGCUUCUUGGA